rnacentral:tRNA from 1 species
GGGGGAAGCUCAAUGGACGAGCAUGGACUGUCAAUCCAAGGUUGAGGGUUCGAGUCCCUCCCCCCA